rnacentral:misc_RNA from 1 species
AACAUCGCGCACCUGCGGGAACCUGCGGAGGGAUCAUUACAGAGUUGCAAAACUCCCACAAACCAUCGCGAAUCUUACCCGUACGGUUGCCUCGGCGCUGGCGGUCCGGAAGGCCCUCGGGCCCCCGGACCCUCGGGUCUCCCGCUCGCGGGAGGCUGCCCGCCGGAGUGCCGAAACCAAACUCUUGAUAUUUUUAUGUCUCUCUGAGUAAACUUUUAAAUAAGUCAAAACUUUUAACAA